CCUACGGGAGGCUGCAGUGGGGAAUAUUGCACAAUGGGGGAAACCCUGAUGCAGCGACGCCGCGUGAGUGAAGAAGUAUCUCGGUACGUAAAGCUCUAUCAGCAGGGAAGAAAAUGACGGUACCUGACUAAGAAGCCCCGGCUAACUACGAGACAGCAGCCGCGGUAAGACGCCGGGUGCAAGCGUUAUCCGGAUUGACUGGGUGUAAAGGGAGCGUAGGCGGCAGCACAAGUCUGGAGUGAAAUCCCGGGGCUUAACCCCGGAACUGCUUUGGAAACUGGGCGGCUGGAGUGUAGGAGGGGUAGGCGGAAUUCCUGGUGUAGCGGUGAAAUGCGUAGAUAUCAGGAGGAACACCGGUGGCGAAGGCGGCUUACUGGACUGUAACUGACGUUGAGGCUCGAAAGCGUGGGGAGCAAACAGGAUUAGAUACCCCAGUAGUC
rnacentral:rRNA from 1 species